CCCCGGUAAACGGCGGCCGUAACUAUAACGGUCCUAAGGUAGCGAAAUUCCUUGUCGGGUAAGUUCCGACCUGCACGAAUGGCGUAAUGAUGGCCAGGCUGUCUCCACCCGAGACUCAGUGAAAUUGAACUCGCUGUGAAGAUGCAGUGUACCCGCGGCAAGACGGAAAGACCCCGUGAACCUUUACUAUAGCUUGACACUGAACAUUGAGCCUUGAUGUGUAGGAUAGGUGGGAGGCUUUGAAGUGUGGACGCCAGUCUGCAUGGAGCCGACCUUGAAAUACCACCCUUUAAUGUUUGAUGUUCUAACGUGGACCCGUAAUCCGGGUUGCGGACAGUGUCUGGUGGGUAGUUUGACUGGGGCGGUCUCCUCCUAAAGAGUAACGGAGGAGCACGAAGGUUGGCUAAUCCUGGUCGGACAUCAGGAGGUUAGUGCAAUGGCAUAAGCCAGCUUGACUGCGAGCGUGACGGCGCGAGCAGGUGCGAAAGCAGGUCAUAGUGAUCCGGUGGUUCUGAAUGGAAGGGCCAUCGCUCAACGGAUAAAAGGUACUCCGGGGAUAACAGGCUGAUACCGCCCAAGAGUUCAUAUCGACGGCGGUGUUUGGCACCUCGAUGUCGGCUCAUCACAUCCUGGGGCUGAAGUAGGUCCCAAGGGUAUGGCUGUUCGCCAUUUAAAGUGGUACGCGAGCUGGGUUUAGAACGUCGUGAGACAGUUCGGUCCCUAUCUGCCGUGGGCGCUGGAGAACUGAGGGGGGCUGCUCCUAGUACGAGAGGACCGGAGUGGACGCAUCACUGGUGUUCGGGUUGUCAUGCCAAUGGCACUGCCCGGUAGCUAAAUGCGGAAGAGAUAAGU
rnacentral:rRNA from 1 species